CGGCUAGUGUUUUAUAUGAAUCCAAGAUGUGGCGAUACUAGGUAUUUAAGCUAGGAGAAGGAAAUAUGUUUGAACAUGGCCUUCUGAAGCUGUUAGGAAUUCACAGUUAGUAAAGUCAUUAAAAAAAUUAAUAGGGCCGGCGUCGCGGCUCACUAGGCUAAUCCUCCGCCUUGCGGCGCCGGCACACCGGGUUCUAGUCCCGGUCGGGGCGCCGGAUUCUGUCCCGGUUGCCCCUCUUCCAGGCCAGCUCUCUGCUGUGGCCCGGGAGUGUAGUGGAGGAUGGCCCAAGUAUUUGGGCCCUGCACCCCAUGGGAGACCAGGAGAAGCACCUGGCUCCUGCUGUUGGAUCAGCGCGGUGCGUCGGCCACUGGAGGGUGAACCAACGGCAAAGACCUUUCUCCCUCUCUCUCACUGUCCACUCUGCCUGUCAAAAAAAAAACAAACAAACAAACAAAAAAAAAACAAA